rnacentral:rRNA from 1 species
CACGUAGGCACCAAGCGUUGUCCGGAUUUAUUGGGCGUAAAGAGCUCGUAGGCGGUUCGGUAAGUCGGGUGUGAAAACUCUGGGCUCAACCCAGAGCCGCCACCCGAUACUGCUGUGACUCGAGUGCGGUAGGGGAGCGGGGAAUUCCUGGUGUAGCGGUGAAAUGCGCAGAUAUCAGGAGGAACACCAGUGGCGAAGGCGCCGCUCUGGGCCGUGACUGACGCUGGGGAGCGAAAGCGUGGGUAGCAAACAGG